AUGUUCCGGUAGGUAAGGCUACCGCAGGGAUACGGACUGCUGCCGCGAAGUGGUGGAGACACCAUAAGAUGGUUUGAACAGGCGAUAUCGAAACCAAGGUAUCAUCUAAUGCAGUUUCAUUGCCCCGCGAUGCUAAAGCUUGU
rnacentral:sRNA from 1 species